UACGUAGGGGGCAAGCGUUGUCCGGAUUUAUUGGGCGUAAAGAGCGUGUAGGCGGCCAAACAGGUCAGCUGUGAAAACUCGAGGCUCAACCUCGAGACGUCGGUUGAAACCGUUUGGCUAGAGUCCGGAAGAGGAGAGUGGAAUUCCCGGUGUAGCGGUGAAAUGCGCAGAUAUCGGGAAGAACACCCGUGGCGAAGGCGGCUCUCUGGGACGGUACUGACGCUGAGACGCGAAAGCGUGGGGAGCGAACGGG
rnacentral:rRNA from 1 species